rnacentral:rRNA from 1 species
AUUGAACGCUGGCGGCAGGCCUAACACAUGCAAGUCGAACGAGUGGCGGACGGGUGAGUAAUGUCUGGGAAAGUGCCCGAUGGAGGGGGAUAACUACUGGAAACGGUAGCUAAUACCGCAUACCAUCUGAGGUGCCCAGAUGGGAUUAGCUAGUAGGUGGGGUAACGGCUCACCUAGGCGACGAUCCCUAGCUGGUCUGAGAGGAUGACCAGCCACCCCGGAACUGAGACACGGUCCGGACUCCUACGGGAGGCAGCAGUGGGGAAUAUUGCACAAUGGGUGCAACCCUGAUGCAGCCAUGCCGCGUGUAUGAAGAAGGCCUUCGGGUUGUAAAGUACUUUCAGCGAGGAGGCGUUACUCGCAGAAGAAGCACCGGCUAACUCCGUGCCAGCAGCCGCGGUAAUAC